ACUCUUUUCGGAGAGUGUGAAGUAGGCUUUCCAUGCAACAGACACCAUUUAAACAGUCAUUGCACUCCGGCUGUGCUGACCCCUGCGAAUUCCCCAAAUGUGGGAAUCUCGACUGCAUGAUGUCUGCUAGUGCGCCACUGCGUUCGCGCUCUCCCCUG